rnacentral:rRNA from 1 species
UACGAAGGGGGCUAGCGUUGUUCGGAAUCACUGGGCGUAAAGCGCACGUAGGCGGAUGUGCCAGUCAGGGGUGAAAUCCCGGAGCUCAACUCCGGAACUGCCUCUGAUACAGCACGUCUUGAGUUCGAGAGAGGUGGGUGGAAUUCCUAGUGUAGAGGUGAAAUUCGUAGAUAUUAGGAAGAACACCGGUGGCGAAGGCGGCCUGCUGGGCAGUGGCUGACACUGAGGCGCGACAGCGUGGGGAGCAAACAGG